UACGGAGGGUGCAAGCGUUAUCCGGAUUUACUGGGUUUAAAGGGUGCGUAGGUGGGUUGGGAAGUCAGUGGUGAAAUACUUUCGCUUAACGAAGGAACUGCCAUUGAUACUAUCAAUCUUGAAUGUAGUGGAGGUAGGCGGAAUGCGUCAUGAUAGCGGUGAAAUGCUUAGAUAUGACGCAGAACACCAAUUCGAAGGCGAGCUUGCUGACACUACUAUACA
rnacentral:rRNA from 1 species